rnacentral:lncRNA from 10 species
CGCCAUGACAGGAUCUCACUCUGAGCGAUACUCAGGCUGGAGUGCAGUGGCCCAAUCAUGGCUCACUCUAGCCUCUGCCUCCCAGUCUCAAGCAAUCCUCCCACCUCAGCCUCCCAAGUAGGUGGGACUACAGGUGACACCACCAUACUCGGCUAAUUUUUGUACUGUUUGUAGAGACGGGGUUUUGCCAUGUUGCCCAGGCUGGUCUCCAGCUCCUAAACUCAAGUGACCUACCUGCCUUGGCCUCCCAAAGUGCUGGGAUUACAGGCGUGAGACACCGCGCCCGGCCCAGGUGCUUAUUGUUAACUCCUGCUUCCUUAACCUCACCACAGUUUACACCCCGCCACUCCUGAGCACCGCACACCGGCUUCCUCCCAGUCCCUCAUCUGAGAACUCAUGAAGCCACUUGGAAUCCCUCUCUGCUUUGCCUGGCUCAUUCCAUGUCAAUUUCAGAUCUUCACUUCAGGUCAGCUCCAAGGAGGCUAUCCUUGCCCAUCUUCCUAAAAUAGAGCUCUCAAAACCUGGCUGUUUUCCUUCAGAGCACUGGCCUCCAAUUGCUCCGGUAGAUUGCAAAUGACCUGCUUUCUUUCUGUUCCCGGGCGUUUGGACCCCUGUCUUGGACCGCUGUCGGAUAGUAAAUCCCAAGUAAGGUACCUGCCGUCGGCAGAUUUGAGCUUUCUUCUUGGACACCUAAUACCCACAGUCCUCCAGGCUCCGGUAGAUUGCAAAUGACCUGCUUUCUUUCUGUUCCCGGGCUGCGUUCGGACCCCUGUCGGAGAGUAAAUCCGAA